rnacentral:lncRNA from 1 species
ACAUCCUAACCAUGAGCGCGAAGCAGAGGGUGUGAACUGGAAGUGUGUAAGGCUUUGAAUCUCUCAGCCCACUCGCCUUCUCUGACAGACUUCUUCUGACAAAGACACACCACCUAAACUCCUCCAAACCAUGCCACCAACCAACAACCAAGUUUUUAAAUGCCCCCAAGAUGAUGGGGGACAGUUCUCACUCAAAUCACCGCAAAGCUAAAGGAUGACUGCAUAGAUUUUAGGAUGGGCGUGAUUGGCAUGGUGGCCCUGACAGUGAAACUGGAGUCUCCUGCAGUUUUGAUUGAGUUUGACUGUGCUCCCCACUCCCAGCCCCUUCCCCACCCUCAGUGUUUCAGGUUUUAGAAACCUGGUUCUCCAUAUAGAAAUUUAUUGGACCUUUAGAGAUAGGGCUAGUGGUAAGCCCUCACUGGGACCCGAUUUUUCUGUCUUGUUAUUUGUUUUCUCUCAUUAUGCCAUUGGCCAUGCUGUAAUGGAUAAUAAGAGGGGCCUAGACAAGCUCCUACAUGUGGUUUAUGGCUUUAGAUUCUAAACCUCUAAGCAAGGUAAAUCUCUUUCCAAAUUACCUAGCCUUGGGUGUUCUAUGGUAGUAGCAGAAACAAAGCACCAUGUGGUGGGCUGGGCCUUGGUUUGAUGAUUGAGUUCUGUGGAUGGCCACAGUGAUGCCGUGGGAGCGAGAGUCACGUGGGUGUGCUUGUUCCCAAGGAUGUCUGAGAGGCCACACCCUGAAAAAUCAUCAGCAAAGGGGCUUUAGCCAAAGCUACCGAGAUCCAACAAGAAAGCUGAGCUUAGUCUUGCAAAAUGCAGGCAGUUUCUCCUGAAGAAAGAUGUCGGAAAGGAAGUCCAGGCAGGAAGGGACAUUGCAGGCAAAGGUAUGAGUCAGAAGGCCGGGUGGAAAAUCACCAGCCUUGCCUCAGAGCUGGAACACAGAAUCUGAGGCCUUCUGUGGGCAGGGAUGACACACACAGGGCCACUACAUGGAAAGCUGUCCUCUCUAAAGUGCCCGGAGAGCAACUUCCAGACCAGUGUGGAAACGUUAAAGGUGUGUGGGCAGAGCAUUAGAUCAGUACAGCUUCUGGAACAUCCCGUUGGUAUCUCACCAGGCAGCUUACUUAAAGUAUUUGUCUGACCUCAGAUUUCUUAUCUGUGGGACAGAAUGCUUGGUAAGAUAACAUGAUCUCUCUCCAAUUCUCCCACCAGCCUGGUCCGACGCCUGCCUCAGGCUCCUUUGUACCGGUCUUUUAAGUGAGUGCUGCCUUGCCAUGCCUGGCUUUUAUUCUUUAAUGUGGGUUCUUGGGGUUGACCUACAAUCCAUAGGUUUGCACAGUAAGCACAUUGGCCGCUCCGCUGCCAGCCAGCUGCCACCUUGCUUUCCAGAGGGCCUUUCUACGUGAAUCAGUCCUGUCUUUCCAUUCCAUCUCUUCGAAACUUCGCUACCUGGAGGUCUUGCUGAGCUGCAGAGGUUGCCCUCCAUUCCUCCCGAAGGCGUACAGCUCCCCAGUUCCUAUGAAAACCCUCACAUCUAAGCC